AUUUGUUCCUUGGGCCUUGCCCUAAGACAGGCUGGAUCUCAAAUUGCUAAUACUUCAAUCCGAACAUGAGAUGAAAAUGAUGGCUAUGCAAAUGGUGACCAACUCAAUAAGUUAUGCCAUGGAGAGGUACAAGGAGCUCAUACAAGUGAAUAGUUCCUACCUGUGAGUCACUGACAGAGAUGAGAACCCAGCACUAGGCAGGGAGUGCUUCUGUCCUGUAUGACUUUGAACAAAACUCAGGGCUCUGCUUCUACAGUGUCUGACUCUUAACAGGAAAGCCUGCCUCCUGGCACAGGGUCUUGGAUUUGUAACUUUAGGACUCAGUGGUCCUACAUGUGAAGAGUUUAGAAGACCCUCCAAUUGUUAUUUUCCCCAUUAACGAUCGCUCCUCUACAUAGAAAAGAUUUGCACCAUGAUGGGAAUAUCAAUCAACUCUCAACUUCUAGGACACUGACAGGUUCUCUGUGAUCCAUGAGAUACACAUGCAAAGAUUGUAUAGCUAUUAGGUCUUCUAUCAUCCCUCAGAGUGUAUUUGCCCUCUACUUGCAGAUGGUUUUAGCAUACUAUGGACAUAUGAGCACCCAUAUGGUCCAAUUCUUCUACCUUGAUGUAUAUAAAACAUCUUAGUGUCAGGAUUUUCAGAAGUACUUUGAUUCACAGGGAAUGUGGCCUCUGGAUUUGGCCUCCUCUAAUUGGUGCUAACUUGUAUACUGUGGCUCUAGCCUGUUGAUGUCUGGAGAUGAGGGCCCUUGAAAGGAUGAUUGUACUUGCAGGAGUGACAGGCAAAUAGAAGCUUCCUGGGAUUUGACAUUUAUUGUUUGUGGUUCAGCAACACGCACUGCCAGCUCCUGCGUGAAUGGAUUCAAUUGAAGAACAAUGUAAGGAUUUUGCUGAAUGAGAACAGACAACUGCUGGUGGAGCAGACUAAACUGCCAGCAUCCUAUGAGAAAGCAAAGAGGUUCUGUGAGGAGGCCAGCAAUUACAUCUGUGUCCUUAGAGCCAAGCAACAGCAGCUGCUUCUUGCUGUUUUAAUGGUGAUUCAAACAUUGAAGAGGAAAGUUUCUGAGCAGCGGUCCACAGAACUUUCUCAAACUGAGCAGAACUUUGGAGUAGAAGGUUUUGGUAGGAAGGCAUCAUCCCAAAAUGUCAUCAGAAUUGGAGGAACUCAAAUUUGAAAUCCAGAAGUGUAAAUUCGAGAGGCAUGAACUUUAUCAAAUCCUGGACCUUUAUAUCUAUGAUGAUUGGGACUACAGGCUGGAUGUUUAAUUGCCAAUACUUCAAUCUGAACAUGCGAUGAGAAUGACGGCUAUGCAAAUGAUAACCAACUCAAUAAGUGAUGCCAUGGAGAGGUACAAGGAGCUCAUAUGAGUGAACAGUUUCUACCGCAUCAGGCACUCCCAGCUCCUGUGUGAACAAACUCAAUUGAAGAACCAUAUACAGAUUUUGCUGAAUGAGAACAGAGAACUGCUGGUGGAGCAGUCUGAACUGCCAGCAUCCUAUUUGGAGGCAAAGGGGUUCUGUGAAGAGUCCAGAAUGAACAUCUGUGUCCCCAGUGCCAAGCAACAGUAGGCUUUCGCCCGAUUCUCGGUACCGUGUCGGUGCUGGCGCCGACAGCUCUGCUCUCCAGAGUCAGCAGAAAUGGCAUGCAUCAGCAACACUGAGCCAGGAGAUGGAGACAUUAAUUCAGUGUGCUAGCUAGCUGGUGGCUUUAGGGUAAGUCUCCAGUCAAAAACCUUAUGAGUAGGGCUCUGCAACAGGACCAGCUUGGGAGCCACUUGUUAAAGCAGAGAAGCCUACUGGAGGAAGGAACCAUGUCACCAGUGCUUCAUGGAUCCCUUUCCUCCACAACAGAAAGACA
rnacentral:sRNA from 1 species